rnacentral:tRNA from 1 species
GGUGUGGUACUUUAAUGAAAAGGCUUGAUUUGCGUUCAAAGAUUGGGAUUUUUCCUCUACACCA